GUGUCAGCCGCCGCGGUAAUACGGAGGGUGCAAGCGUUAUCCGGAUUCACUGGGUUUAAAGGGUGCGUAGGCGGGCAGGUAAGUCAGUGGUGAAAUCCUAGAGCUUAACUCUAGAACUGCCAUUGAUACUAUCUGUCUUGAAUAUUGUGGAGGUAAGCGGAAUAUGUCAUGUAGCGGUGAAAUGCUUAGAUAUGACAUAGAACACCUAUUGCGAAGGCAGCUUACUACGCAUAUAUUGACGCUGAGGCACGAAAGCGUGGGGAUCAAACAGGAUUAGAUACCCCCGUAGUCC
rnacentral:rRNA from 1 species